rnacentral:rRNA from 1 species
UACGUAGGGGGCAAGCGUUGUCCGGAAUUAUUGGGCGUAAAGCGCGCGCAGGCGGUUUCUUAAGUCUGGUGUGAAAGCCCGCAGCUCAACUGCGGAGGGCCACUGGAAACUGGGAGACUUGAGUGUAGGAGAGGAGAGCGGAAUUCCACGUGUAGCGGUGAAAUGCGUAGAUAUGUGGAGGAACACCCGUGGCGAAAGCGGCUCUCUGGCCUACAACUGACGCUGAGGCGCGAAAGCGUGGGGAGCAAACAGG